GAUGAACGCUGGCGGCGUGCCUAAUACAUGCAAGUCGAACGCAUAGCGAAAGGUGCUUGCACCUUUCAAGUGAGUGGCGAACGGGUGAGUAACAUGUGGACAACCUGCCUCAAGGCUGGGGAUAACAUUUGGAAACAGAUGCUAAUACCGAAUAAAACUUAGUGUCGCAUGACACAAAGUUAAAAGGCGCUUCGGCGUCACCUAGAGAUGGAUCCGCGGUGCAUUAGUUAGUUGGUGGGGUAAAGGCCUACCAAGACAAUGAUGCAUAGCCGAGUUGAGAGACUGAUCGGCCACAUUGGGACUGAGACACGGCCCAAACUCCUACGGGAGGCUGCAGUAGGGAAUCUUCCACAAUGGGCGAAAGCCUGAUGGAGCAACGCCGCGUGUGUGAUGAAGGCUUUCGGGUCGUAAAGCACUGUUGUAUGGGAAGAACAGCUAGAAUAGGAAAUGAUUUUAGUUUGACGGUACCAUACCAGAAAGGGACGGCUAAAUACGUG
rnacentral:rRNA from 1 species